rnacentral:tRNA from 1 species
GCACCAGCAGGAUGGGGGUCUUGCCGCGGUUCUGGUCCGUGGCCCACUCGUAGACGCGGAUCGUGCCGUGGCUGGUGCG